GGCGUUGAUUGUGGGGGAUGAAAGACCGACAGCGUCGAUUGCAGAGUCGACGGCAGGAAAACAUGGAAGGAGGAGAGGUGGUGACUUGAAUUGGGGCUUUAGGGCUUGGAUCCGCUUCGGCCCUUCUUCCGGUGACCUCUGCUUCCGGCGACCUCUGCUUCGGCCCUUCUUCCGGCCCAGAUGACCUCUUUUUUUUCCUUUUUUUUUUAAUUUAAAAACGAUGUCGUAUUACUACCCUCGCCGGUCGUCCACGUCAACAAAAUCCGACAGCCACGUCAACACCGAUCAAGCUGGUGGUCAACGCAUGUGCAAUUUGCGACUAAAUUAAAAGGUGGUGUAUUAUGGGGCUAUUUUUGAAGGUCGUGUGCAAUAUACAAUUCCGGUGAAAG
rnacentral:lncRNA from 1 species